UACGAAGGGUGCAAGCGUUACUCGGAAUUACUGGGCGUAAAGCGUGCGUAGGUGGUUGUUAAGUCUGUUGUGAAAGCCCCGGGCUCAACCUGGGAAUGGCAAUGGAUACUGGCAGGCUAGAGUGCGGUAGAGGGUAGUGGAAUUCCCGGUGUAGCGGUGAAAUGCGUAGAGAUCGGGAAGAACACCCGUGGCGAAGGCGGCUCUCUGGGACGGUACUGACGCUGAGACGCGAAAGCGUGGGGAGCGAACAGG
rnacentral:rRNA from 1 species